rnacentral:rRNA from 1 species
GACGAACGCUGGCGGCGUGCUUAACACAUGCAAGUCGAACGAUGAAGAGGAGCUUGCUCUUCGGAUUAGUGGCGAACGGGUGAGUAACACGUGACUAACCUGCCCCUUUCUCUGGGAUAACGCUCCGAAAGGAGUGCUAAUACCGGAUACUCACAUCGAGGCACAUGCCUUGAUGUGGAAAGUUUUUCGGAAAGGGAUGGAGUCGCGGCCUAUCAGCUUGUUGGCGAGGUAACGGCUCACCAAGGCGAGGACGGGUAGCCGGCCUGAGAGGGCGAACGGCCACACUGGGACUGAGACACGGCCCAGACUCCUACGGGAGGCAGCAGUGGGGAAUAUUGCACAAUGGGCGAAAGCCUGAUGCAGCGACGCCGCGUGAGGGAUGAAGGUCUUCGGAUUGUAAACCUCUUUCAGUAGGGAAGAAGCGAAAGUGACGGUACCUGCAGAAAAAGCACCGGCUAACUACGUGCCAGCCGCCGCCGUAA